GGUUCCUCACCUCCGGCCUUCCAAGGUUCUCCAAAGGAGCACAACCCAGUAGGACAGUAGGGCAGUUGCCUGUGCAACCCUAAGGAUCCCGCCAGCGCAAGACGCUAAUGCUGCAUUCCCGCGAGAGGCCGAGGAGGCUUCUGGGGAAUGUAGUCAGAGACGUACUGGGGUAGACAAGAUGGCUCCCGAUCAACAGGAUUCUUAAUCAGCGAUUAGUUGGAGCCGGGUGGACGUAAUUUCACCCCUCAUUGAAACACACCCUGAAGGCUUCACAGAGCCCUAGCUCAGUUUCCAGUAGUGUCUGCCAAAAAAGGCCACAUCAGCUCCAUGCAGAUACGUUUACUUUCCGAAACUCUCCUGCUAUCCGUAGGAGCGGGACAGCCAGACGUGAUGGCAUAGGCCUGUCAUCGCAGCACUCUGGGAGUCGGAGGCAAAAGGAUCGCAAAUUUGAGCUCAACCAGCGCCAACUGGGAGAGACGCUAUCUCAAGAGCGCGAUGGCGAGCGCCUGUUAUCCCAGCACCUGAAAGGCUGAGGCGGGAGGAUUACCACAUGUUCAAGGCCAGACUGGGCUACAUACGUACGAAGACUGUGCCAAAAAAAACCAACCAAACAAACAAAAACAAGUAUAGGGCCGGGGAUUUAGCUCAGUGGUGCCGCCGCCUGCCUCGAAAGCGCAAGGUCCUGAGUUCGAUCCCUGGUACCAAAAAUACAAAACAAAAAACAGCUAUGUAUGUGUGUGUGUGACUGGAAUUGUAUUGAGGAGUCAUUGCUGAUCCCCAUCUGUAAAACAAUAAUAAGGACGGAUCUCUCUGGAGCAUGAUUUUCUUUUUCUUAAAGUUUUGAAGGGCUAAAGGUUACACAAUUGAGCUUAUAAUGAUUUAUUGUUAUUAUUUUGUUGGGGAUUGAACCUAGGGACUUGUAAUGAUUUAAAGCUCAACUUACCUAACACCAGAAACAUCCGUCAUGGAAGAAAAAAUAAAAUCAGUGUUAUGUUUUUAAGAAAUAAAGUCUAUUUCAAAGGAACAUUUUAUGUAUUGGGUCCAGGGUUACUUGCUCUUAAUUGGAGUACAGUCCCUGUAGAUAGAUAUAGCCAUUCAGUCUUCUGGGUUCUGUUUGUUUUUGUUUUGGGCAGUACUGGAGAUGGAUCCCAGAGACAUUUCUACCACUGAACUACAUAUCUCAGCCCUAGCCCUAACCCAACUGCUUUUAUUAAUUCUAAUCAUCUGGUCAUUAACAAUAGCAGCAAAAACAGCAGUGAAUUUUUUUCCAUUUGAUUUAAGGAUUGUCGUCUUUGCUUAGUACUAGCUUAAGCCUUUGUACUGAGUUACAUCCCCAUCCCUUUCUAUUUUGUACUUUAUUGAGACAAGGUCUGUACAAAUUACUUUCAGCAGGGCCAGGGAUUUAACUCAGUGGUUUCACUGCCUGCCGCGCAAGCACAAGGACCCGAGUUUGUUCCCUGGUACCAAAAACCAAAACAAAACAAAUUACUUUCAGCAACCAAAUCCCACUUCCAUGACUUCAGCUAACACUACUGACUCAUGACCAACAGAGUGCUUUCAUUCUAGGCCUAUCUUGUGUGUGCUCACGUGUGUAUGUGUAUGUGUGGUCAAAAUAUAUAACAAAAUUGACUAUUACAACCACUUUGAAAUACACAAUUCAGUAGUGUUAAAGAUAUUCACAUUGUGUUGUGCAGCUAAUCUCUAGAACAUUUUAUCUUAUAAAACUGAGACGGUAUACCCAUAAACAACUUCAUUUCCCUUUCUCCCAUGCCCCUGGCAACCACCAUUCUUUCUCUUUCAGUGAAUUUGACUACUCCAGAUGUCUUAUAUAAGUGGAAUUAUACAGUAUCUCUGUUUUUGUGAUUGCCUUAAUUCAUUUAGCAUAAUGUCAAGGUACAUUGAUAUUGCAGAUUAUGUCAGAAUUUCCUUCCUAUUGUAACAACAAAUUGUAUGUAUAUACCAGAUAUUCCUUAUCCAUGUAUCCAUCAGUAGACCUUUGGGUUGAUUCCCCUGUUAGCUAUAUUGAAUAAUAAUAAACAUGGAUGUGUAAAUUCUC